CCUCUUCUUCCUCACCGAGUGUUUCAUCGGCAACGGCUCCAUCUAUCCUUCCUCCUCUUCGGCGAGUGUUUCAUCCGCAACGUCUCCAACAUCCUCCUAAGGGCUAGCCACCGGAUUUCAGCUAGGAACCGGAGUUUGUGUCAGCGAAUUAGUUGGAAAAAGCUUAAUCCCUACCUAUUUGACAAUAGGGCAUAACAAAUGGAUAUUGAAGAGGAAUUGGUUGAAGGCGCGGAGCAAGAGAAUUACUCAGGGAUGGAGUAUUCCAAUGCGGAAGACUUUGAUACAGUAAGUUUACUUUGAAUGUAUAUUACCAUGUGCUUGUGCGAUCCAAAAUGCAUGACAUUGUAACAGUUUUACCACUUGCUUAUGCGAUUGGGCUUAUGUGGAAGAUAUGUGGUGAGAUUUUGUUAAGCAUUUGUAUCGCAUCUGAUAUGGCUGGGAGAAGAACAGGUUGAAACUCUAUAAUGCUAUUGAACAAAUUUUGAGGAA